rnacentral:lncRNA from 1 species
GUCAGAACUUGGAGGCGUUCGUCAAUCACGGAGUGACUUCUUUGCUGAAUCAGACGAUAGUUUUGGAAUACAGGAAGAAUAUUUUCUCAAUUUUUUGUGUUAUUUGCAAUGCAAUGGCUCCAGACAUGAUAUAGUUUUAAGUUUAAUCUACAUCAUUAACAUUUUCUGUCACUUUCUUAAAUCUAGACAUUCAACAAAUCAAGCCUCAAUUUGUAGCAUGUGCCCAUUUCCAUGGUAUAAAUAUUCCUGGCGUGGCCAAUUUCAAGCAACCAGUGUGACAUCAUUGCACACAAGAGUUGUGAAGAGAGGCACAGUGGCACACAGUUCUAUUUCCACCAGAUACAAUAAAGAAACACACAAAACAAGGUGAUACAUUGAUCGCUUGAUGAAAAUGCCAUGACCAGAGGCUUGCAGGAACCCAAGGCUGUAUUUCUCCUAGAAGCAGCGGUUCUAGCAUCGUAUUCGCCAAUUCACUGCUCAAAGCCACCUUAUAGAACAUAACUCCAGCAAAUAACAAGAACGGACCGUGAUAAAAAAUUAGGAAGCGAUGAGCUUGCAGUAAUUCUUACCUUUGUUUUUUACAGUACUUUUUAAGAUUAAACUGUUACUAAUUUAUUUAUUUACUAUGUUUUUAAACUAAAUUAUUUAAUUGUAAACUUGUAAAAUAUAAUUUUUAAUAAUGGCUUUGCCUAGCAACUGACUUGCAAAAUUCCUGACAUUCUGCGUCAUCUCUCGUAAGUCCACUCUGGGGUGCCACGAGCUAGAAGGAGGCAGCGUAGGAACAAGGUCUGCCCGACUCCAAACCUGGCCUCUUGCUUUUUGAAGCCUCACGUGGAAACCCUUAAUUAGGAUAGAAAAAUCUAGGUGCAACAGCUUGCCAGGCUUUAGUGUCACUUGGGGUGCAAGAACCGUGUACUUUCCCGUGGUUCAGGUCUGGCUGCGGAAGUUGGGAGAGUUCCCUAAACCAUGUCAGGAGAUAAGCAACGUCAUUUAAAUGACAGAGACCCU